UAUCCUACGGGAGGCAGCAGUAGGGAAUAUUGGGCAAUGGAUGCAAGUCUGACCCAGCCAUGCCGCGUGCAGGAAGAAGGUCCUCAUGGAUUGUAAACUGCUUUUUUGUGGGAAGAAGAGACAUCAUGCGAGCUGUUUGACGACCUCAGAAGACCU
rnacentral:rRNA from 1 species